AGUCCCUAGAAAUGAUUAGGGGUGAAUUCUGCCCAAUGAGGAAUUUAAUGGCCGCGGUACUUUGACCGUGCUAAGGUAGCAUAAUCAGUUGACAUUUAAUUGAUGUCUGGAAUGAAUGGAAUCACGGAAUUGAGCUGUCUCCUUUUGUUUAUUUUUAAUUUACUAACUAAGUGAAAAGGCUUAGGGAUGAUAAAAGACGAGAAGACCCUUGGAGUUUAAGAUUUUGUUGGGGCGACAGGGGAGCAGUUUUAACCUCCCUUUAAGUAUGUGACGGUGAUAACAUGAAAAGAAAAACUACCCAAGGGAUAACAGCAUAAUCCUUAAUGGGUUUAUGACCUCGAUGUUGGACUAGGAAGCCACUAGGCUAGCCGCCUAAGUGGGGGAUUCUGUUCGAAUUUUUACUCCU
rnacentral:rRNA from 1 species